UUUUUCCAUAAAAAUGUAAAUUCUAGGAAUAACAAAAAACAGAGCCAAAAACUAAAAUAAAAAAAUUUUUGUUCUCUUAUAAGCCAACAUUUGGAUUGAAUUGGAUUGAAAACAAAUCAUUUUGGUACGGAAUAAGCAUUUCAACUGUAAUAAUUUCCUGGCAACUUUUCUUGAACUGUACUACCAUCAGAAAUUAUAAAUUCAAACAUUGGUUCCAAAUAUUGCAUUCUCAAAAUUAUUCGAACUAUAAGAAGGGAAGAAGAUUUGAUACUUAAAUAAAACGAAAGCAGAGAAGGGAAAAUAGAAAUGGAGCAUCUGGAUGUACGUGAAUUGUCCCAAGAGGAUGCAGUAGGAAUGUUUAAUACUACAAAUAUAGGAAAAAUUAUGCCCCGAAAUGUUCCUUUUGAAAGUCUUAUUAUAGUCGUAACGCAUAGUGCAGAGCCGGAACUGAAAGAAGUGAACAUUUACCAAAAGAGCAACACACCAUAUCCGCAUUUCCUGGCGUCCUGUUCAUGCAGACAGGUGGACGUUGAGUUGAUGUACCACAUACAAGACUUUAAUGACAUAAGUCUAGUAUAUAAACCAGUAUACUGCGUCAGGGGUGAAAUUAUGCAUGCGGCGAUGCUGGAAAACUUCCAGCACCAAUUUCAAACCUAAAAUAAACGAGUUCUAAGGGUGGGCGGGCGAAGAUCUACAUAUUACCAUACAGGUGACCAGUCAAAGUAGAUCAAAAUAACAUCUGACAAAAUGGUAGAAGACUGGUACAUUAUCGCAUUUGAUAUAUUUAAUCAAUAUAUUAAGUGUGCCCACACCAAGAAGAUAGACUGCUGGUCGGGGGUGUGUGGGGUGUGUGUGGUACAUCAACUCAACGUUUAUAUUAGUAGAAAAAAUGUGGUGGAAACUUAUAAUUUGGUAUCGACAUCUAACCGAGCUAAUACGAGUGUAUUUCAUUAUUAUGAUAAGAUAAUCAUGAUUAAUUGAGUGUUUUAUACUACUAGACUAAUGAGAUGUCUACGUAAAGAUCCAGCAUUGAUAAAAUUUACAACAUUUCCUUCAUAGUCUACAUUUUGAAAACGACAAACUAUUGAUUGGUGUAAAGUUUUGGAAUGAGAUGAUUGUGCAAAUAAUUUUUAAGAAGACUAUAUAUGCAUAAAUGGAAAUUUAUAGAAACGAUGAUUUUUAGAUGCUCUUGUAAUAUGUAUGAUGAUCUUCAAAUUUGAGACUGAAAUAGUUUUGUUUCAGUGUACAUCAGGUACUUUCUGAACUUCAGAGAAUGUCCUGUGUUUCUUGCCGUAAAUGUAUGGAGGAUUAGUUACUUGCGUGCUCAAUUUUAAUUCCUCUUCAAGUAAUGGCAUUUAUCAAAAGACAACAUACAACAUCUGUUAAUUUGAAGUUGUUUAACUCGAUUGAUUUCUCUGGAAAAUUUCACUUAAAUAAAACUAAACGGAAACAAUGAUACAUUUAUGAUCCCCGAUACGAGUAUGUAAUGUUUUUAAUAAGUGCGUGAAAACUUAUCACUUGAAACUUGAGAGUAAAUAACUGUAUUUGUAAAUGUACGAUCAUUCAUCAAUUCAUCCAUCUUCAUCUAAGACUUCUAAAUCAAUUUUUAAGAAUUUUGGAAAAGAUAGCUGAUCAUAUUACUGUAAUGAACAAAUAGAAGCUUGCAUGGUUGUUCUGUGAGUUGUAUUUUUGACAAUUGAUGUGUGGAAGAUUAAUUACAUGCAUGUUAAAGGAUUUAUCACCAUGUGUAUCUUAAAACGUUUUAAUUUAUUCAGCUUUAUAACCAUUUUCAUUUCAAAACAUUGGAUAUUUCAUUAUUGUAUUAAAAAAUCACCAUCGAUUAACUUAACCUUUAUCUUACUGGAUUGACUUCACUGACUUCCCUAGGAAAUUUGAAUGAAAUGUAAUCGAUGAUGCAUAGAUGAUCUGUUAUAUACGGUGCUUACAAUAAGUGUAUGACUAUUCAUUAUCUAAAAAUAUGAUACUAAAAUCAUUGUAUUUGAGGACUAGUUACCUUGACGUGGAUCUUGUUUGGUAGCACGUAUAUACGAAAUUGAAGAGUAAUGGAAAUAAAAUAUAUAGUUGGUAUAUAGUUGCUCUAUGGAAUGGUUAAAAACAAUACAACUAAGAAGUGCUUCAUAGACAUAUAGUCCUUAAUACUAACUAAUAAUAAUAAAAGCUGGCGUGAAUUGAUUGGAGUUCAGACAAAACUACUUUCUUUAUUUUGGAAUAUCGGAACCCGAUUCACUUCAAUGAGAGUAUCGGAACCUGAUACUUCAAUGUGUAUUAUAAAGCAACAAACUGAAGUAAUCUCCUUCUGUUACAUGCAGUUUGAAUAUAAUAAAAAAUUAAAUAGUUUCUAUGAAAUAUUUUUUGGAAUCAGUUUAAAAUUUUCGGCGACGGGACUAAACA